rnacentral:rRNA from 1 species
UACGUAGGGCGCAAGCGUUGUCCGGAAUUAUUGGGCGUAAAGAGCUCGUAGGCGGUUUGUCGCGUCUGCUGUGAAAACCUAAGGCUCAACCUUGGGCUUGCAGUGGGUACGGGCAGACUAGAGUGCGGUAGGGGUGACUGGAAUUCCUGGUGUAGCGGUGAAAUGCGCAGAUAUCAGGAGGAACACCGGUGGCCGAAGGCGGGUCUCUGGGCCGAUACUG